rnacentral:rRNA from 1 species
AGCAGCCGCGGUAAUUCCAGCUCCAAUAGCGUAUAUUAAAGUUGUUGCAGUUAAAAAGCUCGUAGUUGAAUUUCGGGGUCAGUAGGUCGGUCGUGCCACUGGUAUGAACUGGUCUCACUGAUUCCUCCUUCUUGAAGAACCGUAAUGUCAUUAAUUUGGUGUUGCGGGGAAACAGGACUGUUACUUUGAAAAAAUUAGAGUGUUUAAAGCAGGCUAACGCUUGAAUACAUUAGCAUGGAAUAAUGAAAUAGGACGAGCGAUCCUAUUUUGUUGGUUUCUAGGAUUGACGUAAUGAUUAAUAGGGAUAGUUGGGGGCAUUAGUAUUCAAUUGUCAGAGGUGAAAUUCUUGGAUUUAUUGAAGACUAACUACUGCGAAAGCAUUUGCCAAGGAUGUUUCAUUAAUCAAGAACGAAAGUUAGGGGAUCGAAGACGAUCAGAUACCGUCGUAGU